rnacentral:rRNA from 1 species
CACGUAGGGCGCGAGCGUUGUCCGGAAUUAUUGGGCGUAAAGGGCUCGUAGGCGGUUUGUUGCGUCGAAAGUGAAAAUCCGGGGCUUAACUCCGGACUUGCUUUCGAUACGGGCAGACUAGAGGUAGGCAGGGGAGAGUGGAAUUCCUGGUGUAGCGGUGGAAUGCGCAGAUAUCAGGAGGAACACCGGUGGCGAAGGCGGCUCUCUGGGCCUUACCUGACUCUGAGGAGCGAAAUCGUCGGGAGCGAACAGG